rnacentral:rRNA from 1 species
UACGUAGGGUGCGAGCGUUGUCCGGAAUUAUUGGGCGUAAAGAGCUCGUAGGCGGUUUGUUGCGUCGGCCGUGAAAACCUGCAGCUUAACUGUGGGCCUGCGGCCGAUACGGGCAGACUUGAGUUCGGUAGGGGAGACUGGAAUUCCUGGUGUAGCGGUGAAAUGCGCAGAUAUCAGGAGGAACACCGGUGGCGAAGGCGGGUUGCUGGGCUGACACUGACGCUGAAGUGCGAAAGCUAGGGGAGCGAACGGG